CUCUGGCGACAGAUGCGACAGCACCUGGGUGCGCGACGGCCCGAGCUUCCUCCCCCGGCGACCGUCCCCUCCACCGCCUCUCCUCCUUCCGCCGUUCAUCCUUCUACAGCCUCUCCUCUCUCUGGUGGCCGUCCUUCUAUCGCCCCUCAUGAUCUGCUCCGCCUCAACCUCAUGUCCCAUCCGGCAGUGGUGCUCGUGUUUCUUCUCCUUCGACUAAGAUCUUGCAGCCCUACCGACCAAUCAAUCUUGCAGCGCUCAUCCUAUUCCUUCACCCAGCUUCUUUGUGUGCAAAUAUCUCUCUUUGGGCAUCUUCCUCACGUCUGCGGCAGCUUCUUCCCACAUCUUCCUUGUGCCGUACAGGUAGUCAAUUUCAUAUUUAUGUACUGUUCUUCACGGAUCUGCUUGCCCAGGCAAUGUGCUGAGAAAAGAGGGAAGCAGUUUCUGAACUUGUAUCAAUUUUUAGGAUGUGUAUGGGCCUAUAUAUCAUCCAAGCAAUCAUAAUUUUCCUCGAAAAAGUAAGAAAGGAAAAUGUGAUCAUAGCUUGCUGCAAAGCUUAAUAACAUCUCAUUGGCUAGCGACAAUUUAUUUUUUCUUACUUCUGCUUACUCUGUUUUUUCUGACUCAUCUUUUCCUCAACUGAAGAACAGGAAGUAUCUCACAAAUUAUCAGCGUGAACUUUCUAUUGACACUUGAAUAAGUGCAGCAUCUCUCUGUUCUUUUUUUUUUUGCUCUAAUAAUACUAUGCAUCAUCUCCUUUCUUUUAAAAAUAACAUGUCGUGAGCUAACCUGUACUGAGCUAGUUGGUUUGUACUUGAGACCAUCUUCUAUUUGUGAAUUGUAACUCCUUGUCAAUGAUGCAUACUGGAGUUGAGCUGUGUGCAAAAUGUCGCUUGUUGCCUGUGGUGCAGGAGGCUGGACGGAGGGCGCAGACCUUGAGUUCUUGAUUUAAUGUUUUAAAUGAGUUGAGUUGAUGUACUAUAUUUCUAUGUGCCCCUAUUUAGCCUGGUUUAUGGUUUGAGCAGAUGUACUAUAUUUGUUGAUAAUGUGGAAAUAAAUAGGCGUUACCUGCAA